AUGGCAAAGUUUUCUCCCUGUGUGUGACUGAUGGGUGAUGGCUGCACUCACUUGUGAUGCUGAGUGAACUGAUGUUCCUAGUGUAACCACUAAGUCUGGAUCCGGGCGGGCAAUUCCCUUGUCUUGAACUUGGGUGAGAGCUCAGUCGCAUGGGGGCUUUAGUGUGGGAGCUGGGUUUUGAGGUGACCGAUGCGGAGCAUGUAUGUGCCUGCAUGCCCUUCAGGUGCACACUGUCCCUGUCCCGUCGCUCCUUG
rnacentral:lncRNA from 1 species